GAUCGAACGGCGUAGCUACAGGCUUAACACAUGCAAGUCGAGGGGCGAGCGGUGAAACGAUAGCUUGCUAUGUUUGAUGGCGACCGGCGCACGGGUGCGUAACACGUAUCUAAUCUGCCCGUUACUCGGGGAUAGCCCUCUGAAAGGAAGAUUAAUACCCGAUGGCAUGUAUUUCCGGCAUCGGAGAUACAUUAAAGAUUUAUCGGUAACGGAUGAGGAUGCGUACGAUUAGCUGGUUGGCGGGGUAACGGCCCACCAAGGCGACGAUCGUUAGGGGUUCUGAGAGGAAGGUCCCCCACACUGGAACUGAGACACGGUCCAG
rnacentral:rRNA from 1 species